rnacentral:rRNA from 1 species
GAUGAACGCUGGCGGCGUGCCUAAUACAUGCAAGUCGAGCGAACGGACGAGAAGCUUGCUUCUCUGAUGUUAGCGGCGGACGGGUGAGUAACACGUGGAUAACCUACCUAUAAGACUGGGAUAACUUCGGGAAACCGGAGCUAAUACCGGAUAAUAUUUUGAACCGCAUGGUUCAAAAGUGAAAGACGGUCUUGCUGUCACUUAUAGAUGGAUCCGCGCUGCAUUAGCUAGUUGGUAAGGUAACGGCUUACCAAGGCAACGAUGCAUAGCCGACCUGAGAGGGUGAUCGGCCACACGGGAACUGAGACACGGUCAAGACUACUACGGGAGGAAGCAGUAGGGAAUCUUCCGCAAUGGGCGAAAGCAUGACGGAGCAACGCCGCGUGAGAGAUGAAGGUCUUCGGAUCGUAAAACUCUGUUAUUAGGGAAGAACAUAUGUGUAAGUAACUGUGCACAUAUUGACGGUACCUAAUCAGAAAGCCACGGCUAACUACGUG